rnacentral:rRNA from 1 species
ACAGGCUUAACACAUGCAAGUCGAGGGGUAGCAGGGUAGCAAUACCGCUGACGACCGGCGCACGGGUGAGUAACACGUAUCCAACCUUCCCAUUACUCGGGGAUAGCCUUUCGAAAGAAAGAUUAAUACCCGAUAGUACUUAAUUAUGGCAUCAUGUUUAAGUUAAAGAUUUAUUGGUAAUGGAUGGGGAUGCGUUCCAUUAGAUUGUUGGUGAGGUAACGGCUCACCAAGUCUUCGAUGGAUAGGGGUUCUGAGAGGAAGGUCCCCCACAUUGGUACUGAGACACGGACCAAACUCCUACGGGAGGCAGCAGUGAGGAAUACUGGUCAAUGGGCGAGAGCCUGAACCAGCCAAGUAGCGUGAAGGAUGACGG